UCCGUUCUCGAUCGUCGCUACCACUUGUGAUCAUAUUUAUUCAUCAUGGCAAACGUUCCAGCUAUGCAACUUCUCCAUGCCGCGAAGUUUGUGCUCAGCAUCGCCGCCGGGGGAUUUCUUCUCGUUUGCCAGCGGCCCAUGGACUUCCCUAAUUUUGUUGCCGCCAUGUACGUCCUGGUGACAGCAGCCUUCCUGCUGCUCUACUUCUCGCUGGGUCGUCCACAGCUGGGAUCGACAACGGCCAUCACCGCCGAUGGUUCCUGCGUUCCAACAGAACAACUUCUCAAAGCUGCCAAGUUCGUGCUCGCCAUCGCCACCGGAGGUUUUCUCCUUGUUUGCCAGUCGCCCGUGGACUACCCCAGUUAUGCCAUGACCAUGUACCUCCUGGUGAUCCUAAGCUUCCUCAUGCUCUACCUUUCCAUGUGUCGUUCACGACUGGGAUGGACAACGACAGCUGAUGGUUCCCAGCGAGCCACAAUUACUGUUCCUGCACGCCCUCCUUUCCCUCGCGCACCCUCGGUGAUCGUUUAAUAUUUCGGGUCGAUGUGCGUCACUUAUGGCGAAUUAGUUUCUGUUAGCUUGGAGUUCAGCAGUCGUUUGUGUUCGUUCUACUUUGCUCAGUCGUAGGUCCUAUUUCCACUAGUUGUGGUUGCACGAGACAAUUUGUUCUUGUAUCUUCCCACAGUAUGGCUUGAUCUUUGUUUU